AUCGCUUCUCGGCCUUUUGGCUAAGAUCAAGUGUAAAAUCAUUGGUAUAAAAAAAUCUGUCUAGUUUUAUUAACCAGUACCAGGGUUACCUUUUAUAAAACUUCAGUUUGUUAAGGAUUAUUGUUAGAGAAUUUAACUCAU
rfam:Myotis brandtii contig196475, whole genome shotgun sequence.